CCGGCUCAAAGCAGCGCGACUGGCCUCGGGCUCCUCGAGCCCCAGCCUAGCGCCCUGCGGGUGGGUGGCCCCAGGAAAGCGCGCUGGGGAUGGGGGCCGUGAGGGCGCGAGGACCCUCACUGGCACCCCUAGCCCAAGUCCCCACAUCUCUCCAGCUCAGGCCCGGAUCAGCUGCUUGGCUAGGUUUCCUUUGGGUUGGUUUUUUUUUUUCAAAGCAGUUUAAGUUUAGGGAGAGGGGCUUUAAGGCCUCACGGUGCUUAAAUUAAAGAGGGAACGGCCUAGGACCAAUUCGGGGGAACUGUGGCCUUUUUCCGCUCCCAGAUUUUUAGAAGCCCAGAUCUCGGGGUUCCGAAGCGCACUCCCCCCAGGUGGCGAUCUUCCUGCGAGGCCACGACCAGGAACGGUUCACAGUCUGUGUCCCCGAAGACACCGGAUCCCCCGCUCCACGAGAGCAGAGGACGCUGCGUUUCUUCACGCGGCCCAGCACGGCGCCCCCACCCGGAGCGCGGAGGGUGAAGGACGGAUCCUGCCAAGGCCGCGAGUCGCCCCCGGGUCUCCAGACUGGGAUCCCUCUGGUCCCGCUCUACCCACCCCGCCGGAGUCCGCAGCGAGUCUCCGAGCCCCUGCCUGAGGGCAGGUCCUUGCGCCGAAGCGUCGGGUCACCCCAUUCCCUGAGGGGACAAAGCCUGUGUGACUGGGGAGACGUGCAGAGCCCUUUCCACGAGAGCGCAGUUUUAUAGACCUCCAAAAAACCAACCCGACGGUGUGUUAUUUCGAUUCCCCUGUAAAGUUUUGUUCGUAUUCUAGGUAAACGUCUAAUUUCAUCUAGUUUUCCCUAAGGGCAGGAGGAAGCACUGCCCGGGCCAGGCUGCUGAACUUUGCCUGGAGACCCAGUGGGGAACCAAGUGCUCGGAGCCGGCCUCGGGAGUGCAGGUCCCGGCUCCAGCCCAGGGC
ensembl:lncRNA